AGCUUUUUGAAUCCGUGUAGAGAUUUCGUCAGACACUAACUCAUUAGAGCUGAUCGAACUACCAAGAUAAGUGGAGUU
rnacentral:pre_miRNA from 1 species